rnacentral:rRNA from 1 species
AUUCCGCGAAUCAUCGAGUCUUUGAACGCAAGUUGCGCCCGAGGCUUAUCCCAAGGGCAUUUCCGCUAGAGCGUCACCGCGCCCCCCCCACCGAUCCACUCCCGGCGAGUCGGGUCGAGUGAAAGUGGCCAUCCCGGACGGAGGGUGUUCCCUU